rnacentral:rRNA from 1 species
UACGUAGGGGGCAAGCGUUGUCCGGAUUCAUUGGGCGUAAAGAGCGUGUAGGCGGCCAGGCAGGUCGGUUGUGAAAACUGGAGGCUCAACCUUCAGACGUCGACCGAAACCAUCUGGCUAGAGUCCGGGAGGGGAGAGUGGAAUUCCUGGUGUAGCGGUGAAAUGCGCAGAUAUCAGGAAGAACACCGGUGGCGAAAGCGGAUCUCUGGAACGGUACUGACGCUGAGACGCGAAAGCGUGGGGAGCGAACAGG